rnacentral:rRNA from 1 species
CUUCCCACACAGGUGCUGCAUGGCUGUCGUCAGCUCGUGUCGUGAGAUGUUGGGUUAAGUCCCGCAACGAGCGCAACCCUCGUUUCUAGUUGCCAUCAUUCAGUUGGGCACUCUAGAGAGACUGCCGCGAAUAACGCGGAGGAAGGUGGGGACGACGUCAAGUCAUCAUGGCCCUUACGUCCUGGGCUACACACGUGCUACAAUGGGCGCUACAGAGGGUCGCAAGAGCGCAAGCUGGAGCCAAUCCCCAAAAGCGUCCUCAGUUCGGAUCGAGGUCUGCAACCCGACCUCGUGAAGGUGGAAUCGCUAGUAAUCGCGGAUCAGAACGCCGCGGUGAAUACGUUCCCGGGCCUUGUACACACCGCCCGUCAAGCCACGAAAGGAGAGAGCGCUCUAAGCCGCUUCCGGCAACCCGCAAGGGAGCCGGGCGUCUAAAGCGAGAUUUCUGAUUGGGGCUAAGUCGUAACAAGGUAGCCGUAUCGGAAGGUGCGGCU